UGAGCAAUCUGCCCUUCUCUUCGGAAUAAGCGUGGGAAACCGCGUCUAAUGCCGAAUACGACCUCCUUUCGCAUGAUCGGAGGUGGAAAGCUCCGGCGGAGAAGGAUGAGCUCGCCGGCCUAUCAGCUAGUUGGUGUGGGUAAUGGCCCACCAAGGCGACGACGGGUAGCCGGCCUGAGAGGGUGACCGGCCACACUGGGACUGAGACACGGCCCAGACUCCUACGGGAGGNAGCG
rnacentral:rRNA from 1 species